rnacentral:lncRNA from 1 species
ACAAUGGCAUAGUACAAGCCAUUGAAAUUAGCUCUAUUAUAGUGGAGAUUGUUUUGAAGGACCAAAUCAAAAAGAUCAUAUUGACAAAAGUCUUAUAUGUACCAAAGAUGAAAAGAAAAACCUUCAUUCAAUAAACAAACUUAUAUUACAUGGUUGUAAGGUUCAAUUUAACAUGAAUAUGUAUUAUAUAAAGACAUUGGAUAGAUAAGAUGUUGUCAAAGGCUUUAGAG